CAUUUAGGGAGCUUCAAAAUGCACGUGGCUUUUGUUAAGCAGAAUCAUAUUUCUGUUAUAGCUGCCUUGCUUUGGGGAAGCUGGACUGAGAGACCUGAGAAUUUCAGAGAAGGCAAAUGUCAGACAGGAAGCCAAGAAAGAAGUGAAAGGAAGCCUGGCCUAUGUGUCUUCUCUCUAGCCAUGGAUUUGCAGCUGGACUCCUGAAGCCACCCGUCUCUACUAAAAGGACAGCAACACACACCAGCAGCUGAAUCAUGUGCAGCUUUGAGACAGAACAAGGGAGUGCAGUGAAAUAUAACAGAGGGGCUACACACCGUGGAUAUGGCAGAGGGGGAUGAAACUGGCGGCCUAAUAGAGGUCUGGUGUGAGUUCAUGUUAUAUAAAAUAUAAGAAUGGAUUUUAGGAACAGUGGUUUAAAAGCAGAGUGUAUU
rnacentral:lncRNA from 1 species